CUGGCUCAUCCUCAGAGUAUUUUUUUCAUUGCUGGAGGGGCUGCUGCUGCAUUCCUACUACUGAUAAUUCUCCUGAUCAUCAUCAUCAGCACCGUUGUUUACCACAGAAAAAAGAAGAGGAGAAGGAUCAUGACCAUGUCAAAGACUUUUUACUCCACUCAGAACAGGCCCAUGAACAGUUAUGGAAGAUCCCAUUUUGUUAGCACACCAAACUCAGAAAGAGAAGGAGCUUCCACAUCCAGGCAGACAGAGGAUAUUUAUGUCAACUACAGAAACUUCUCACGCUAACCCAGGAUAAGAAUAUGCACUGCUGCCUUAUGUCUGAAUUAGCUAACCAAAGUACUGCACAAUCAUAGGCUUCUCUUGAAUUAUCUGUUUAUACAAGCUUGACCUAUUCAUAAGUCUCCCAUCAACUGCCCAACUCUGGCUGUCUACACUGCAUUCUGCAGUACAGUUUAGAUACCUGAUACAACUUUAAACAAGAAACAGGGAAAAUGACCUGCACUGGUCAUCCUGGUGGAAUGCCCAGACUGCUUUGGGUUCCUUUGUUAACUUGUUUAAGGUAGGUUUGGUAUAUCUACUAUACAAUGCAGUCCCUAUCUGGAGCAGGACAGUAUUUAUGUUUAUGAUUUAAACUUUCCUAGUCCGUAUUUUAAGCAAUAAUAUUUUUGGUGGGGGAAAUAGAUUAAGCACCAAAUUCAAUUCUGAUAUCAGUAUAACUAAAUCUGUUCACACUAGGGCUGAAUUCCGUGAAAGAGUGAAGCAGAAGGAAAACAUGUUCUUUUUAGUCUAGUUUCAUGUAUUGAACCUCACCAGUGGCUAUCCCAAUCAACGUUUUAUAGUGGUGGCAGUAUGAAACUCUUUUUGUUGCCUAUUGACAAUAUCCGUGGAUGUGAAAUGAAACUGAGUUCCCCAGGUAAAAUAAAAUAUCCUUUUCCUUCCUUGCUUUAAGUUGCUGGCACAUGACAUAUUUGCUAUAUAGCUAAUUGGCCUUACUAUAUAGUAGAAAUGGAGCUUUAGAAAGUAGUAUAUCAUUUGAAUCCAGAUUAAAGUUAGUCCUUGAAAAAUAAGUAAUAACUAUUAUUGUGGGAAGUUACUACUUGUGUGUCUACUUCUCUAGUGUAUUACAUCUAGGAGUAGUCAUUUGCUCAAUGCAAACUGACUCCCCUGCCAUCUAGUGGCCAGACAUUGUAAUGGUACGCUUAGUUUGGAAGAAGUGGUGCAUCCACUCGCUUCUUAUUACAAAGUAAAUUUUACUGUGAAGUAAAAUUCAGGUAAACUAUUGCAUAGAAAUCUUGUCAUGCGUACACGCCCUAAGAGUUAGUAGGUGCUGUCCAUCUGAUAGAGCCCCAAGCUCAUGCAGACUUUCCCAGCAGUCAUUACAGUCACUUGGGUUCGCAUGAUUUUGAGAUGGGCUGGAGGCAGACUGUUUAACUCUCAGGAUAAAAAUAAAA